rnacentral:rRNA from 1 species
UAACACAUGCAAGUCGAACGGAAAGGCCCUGCUUUUGUGGGGUGCUCGAGUGGCGAACGGGUGAGUAACACGUGAGUAACCUGCCCUUGACUUUGGGAUAACUUCAGGAAACUGGGGCUAAUACCGGAUAGGAGCUCCUGCUGCAUGGUGGGGGUUGGAAAGUUUCGGCGGUUGGGGAUGGACUCGCGGCUUAUCAGCUUGUUGGUGGGGUAGUGGCUUACCAAGGCUUUGACGGGUAGCCGGCCUGAGAGGGUGACCGGCCACAUUGGGACUGAGAUACGGCCCAGACACCUACGGGAGGCAGCAGUGGGGAAUAUUGCACAAUGGGCGGAAGCCUGAUGCAGCAACGCCGCGUGCGGGAUGACGGCCUUCGGGUUGUAAACCGCUUUCGCCUGUGACGAAGCGUGAGUGACGGUAAUGGGUAAAGAAGCACCGGCUAACUACGUGCCAGCAGCCGCGGUGAUACGUAGGGUGCGAGCGUUGUCCGGAUUUAUUGGGCGUAAAGGGCUCGUAGGUGGUUGAUCGCGUCGGAAGUGUAAUCUUGGGGCUUAACCCUGAGCGUGCUUUCGAUACGGGUUGACUUGAGGAAGGUAGGGGAGAAUGGAAUUCCUGGUGGAGCGGUGGAAUGCGCAGAUAUCAGGAGGAACACCAGUGGCGAAGGCGGUUCUCUGGGCCUUUCCUGACGCUGAGGAGCGAAAGCGUGGGGAGCGAACAGGCUUAGAUACCCUGGUAGUCCACGCUGUAAACGGUGGGUACUAGGUGUGGGGUCCAUUCCACGGGUUCCGUGCCGUAGCUAACGCUUUAAGUACCCCGCCUGGGGAGUACGGCCGCAAGGCUAAAACUCAAAGGAAUUGACGGGGCCCCGCACAAGCGGCGGAGCAUGCGGAUUAAUUCGAUGCAACGCGUAGAACCUUACCUGGGUUUGACAUGGAUCGGGAGUGCUCAGAGAUGGGUGUGCCUCUUUUGGGGUCGGUUCACAGGUGGUGCAUGGCUGUCGUCAGCUCGUGUCGUGAGAUGUUGGGUUAAGUCCCGCAACGAGCGCAACCCUUGUUCACUGUUGCCAGCACGUUAUGGUGGGGACUCAGUGGAGACCGCCGGGGUCAACUCGGAGGAAGGUGGGGAUGACGUCAAGUCAUCAUGCCCCUUAUGUCCAGGGCUUCACGCAUGCUACAAUGGCUGGUACAGAGAGUGGCGAGCCUGUGAGGGUGAGCGAAUCUCGGAAAGCCGGUCUCAGUUCGGAUUGGGGUCUGCAACUCGACCUCAUGAAGUCGGAGUCGCUAGUAAUCGCAGAUCAGCAACGCUGCGGUGAAUACGUUCCCGGGGCUUGUACACACCGCCCGUCAAGUCAUGAAAGUUGGUAACACCCGAAGCCGGUGGCCUAACCGUUGUGGGGGAGCCGUCGAAGGUGGGACUGGUGAUUAGG